rnacentral:rRNA from 1 species
UACGUAGGUGGCAAGCGUUGUCCGGAUUUACUGGGCGUAAAGAGCGCGCAGGCGGUCGUUCAAGUCGUGUGUGAAAGCCCCCGGCUCAACUGGGGAGGGUCACGCGAUACUGAUCGACUCGAAGGCAGGAGAGGGAAGUGGAAUUCCCGGUGUAGUGGUGAAAUGCGUAGAUAUCGGGAGGAACACCGGUGGCGAAGGCGACUUCCUGGCCUGUUCUUGACGCUGAGGCGCGAAAGCUAGGGGAGCAAACGGG